GUUGAAAACUAAUAUUUCGUUUCACUUUUGCAGCUUUGAUAAAUAACAAUUCGUUUUUUGGACGAUUCCUUGGGAAUACGUUUUGGUUUAUAGCUAUCGGUUAUUACAUUUACAUUACGUCUCUCGGCUACGCAAAUAUCGAGAUACUCCAUAAAACGCACCUGUUACUGUCUAGCCUACCUGUAAUACUGCUGACAUACGUUAUUACAUUAUGCGCCGGUAUCAAUAUUAGUUAUUUAGUUAUGGAGUUCUAUCGUUAUCGGGCUCUGUAAAAUAUUUGUAUUAAAUCGCUGUCCUGUACGUCGGACUAACACAAACACCUGAUUGUGCAGUA